rnacentral:rRNA from 1 species
UACGGGGGGGUAAGCGUUGUUCGGAAUUACUGGGCGUAAAGGGCUCGUAGGCGGCCAACUAAGUCAUACGUGAAAUCCCUCAGCUUAACUGGGGAACUGCGUGUGAUACUGGAUGGCUUGGAUUUGGGAGAGGGAUGCGGAAUUCCAGGUGUAGCGGUGAAAUGCGUAGAUAUCUGGAGGAACACCGGUGGCGAAGGCGGCAUCCUGGACCAAUAUUGACGCUGAGGAGCGAAAGCCAGGGGAGCAAAGCGGGG